GACGAACGCUGGCGGCGUGCCUAAUACAUGCAAGUGGGACGCAAGGAAACACACUGUGCUUGCACACCGUGUUUUCUUGAGUCGCGAACGGGUGAGUAACGCGUAGGUAACCUGCCUAUUAGCGGGGGAUAACUAUUGGAAACGAUAGCUAAUACCGCAUAAUAUUAAUUAUUGCAUGAUAAUUGAUUGAAAGAUGCAAGCGCAUCACUAGUAGAUGGACCUGCGUUGUAUUAGCUAGUUGGUAAGGUAAGAGCUUACCAAGGCGACGAUACAUAGCCGACCUGAGAGGGUGAGCGGCCACACUGGGACUGAGACACGGCCCAGACUCCUACGGGAGGCAGCAGUAGGGAAUCUUCGGCAAUGGACGAAAGUCUGACCGAGCAACGCCGCGUGAGUGAAGAAGGUUUUCGGAUCGUAAAGCUCUGUUGUAAGUCAAGAACGUGUGUGAGAGUGGAAAGUUCACACAGUGACGGUAGCUUACCAGAAAGGGACGGCUAACUACGUG
rnacentral:rRNA from 1 species